rnacentral:sRNA from 1 species
UAUGUAAUUAUAAUUUACAAGAAUUGUUUAAUCGAUGUCAUGCUUCACUACGUUCUAUUAUCGAGAGGACAUUUGGAGUUUGGAAAAAUUAUGGAGGACUCUUUGUGAUUUUCCAAAAUAUAGUAUUCAUGUUCAAAAGAGAAUGGUAAUGGCGACAAUGAGAUUACACAAUUUCAUCAAGAUUUCAAAUUUUUCUGAUGCAGAUUUUGCAGAAGUAAUAAUAGAGCCUGAAAUAAACAACACUGAUUGGGAGCAUGAUUUAGAUGACAUGGAAGUAGCUGAAGAAGCAGACAGAGAACAUAUGACAUAAAUAACAGAUAAUACUGCAGAUAUCUUGUGGGAAAAUCAAUAUUUACGAUAGUACUAUUUUGCAUUGUAUUAUUUUGAUGUUGUUAUAUGUAUUAUUUAACCAGAUUUUAAUAAUAUUUUAAAUCUAAAAUAAUAUACGAAAGGCUUUUUAAUCAAUAUAAAAUAAAAUAUAACAAUUUU